GACGAACGCUGGCGGCGUGCUUAACACAUGCAAGUCGAACGGAAAGGCCCUGCUUUUGUGGGGUGCUCGAGUGGCGAACGGGUGAGUAACACGUGAGUAACCUGCCCUUGACUUUGGGAUAACUUCAGGAAACUGGGGCUAAUACCGGAUAGGAGCUCCUGCUGCAUGGUGGGGGUUGGAAAGUUUCGGCGGUUGGGGAUGGACUCGCGGCUUAUCAGCUUGUUGGUGGGGUAGUGGCUUACCAAGGCUUUGACGGGUAGCCGGCCUGAGAGGGUGACCGGCGACAUGGGGACUGAUACGCGGCCGGGACUCGUAGGGGAGGCAGGGGUGGGGAUUGUUACACAGGGGGGGGAAGGCUGAGGCAGCACCGCCGGGGGGGGGGUGGCGGCCUGGGGGUGGAAACCCCUUUUGGCCGGGGACAAGGGGGGGGUGAGGGGAAGGGAAAAAGAAGCACCGGAUAACUACGUG
rnacentral:rRNA from 1 species